CCCAUAUUAUCCUUUAUAUUGUAUGUGCCAAAUGCUGAAGCAACAAAAUCAUAUCUGUCUGAAUUAAAAUGCUUCUCUUUGGUCUUUCUACAUCUGCCUCUGACUAAUCCUUUGACUGCAGAGGAAGACAUGCAUGAAGACAAUAGAGUGAAUUACACCAGGGAUGAAUUUGGUUUAAGCCGUUUACUUGCCGUGAGAAGUUUCCACAUCAGAGUAGUAGUGCAUCUCCAGCAGAAGCACAGAUUUGUUCCCCGAAUUUCUGUUUGUUCCUUGGAAAUUACAGGUUUGACCUUCCAAGCAUCUUUGAAUGCACUGCCUGACCUUGAGUCUGCCUAUGCUUGCAACCUAAGAGGGUACCCAUCAACUCAAGAUGCAGCUGUGCUGUGUUGCAGAAUCGUCUCCUUGACACAUGGGAGCUUUAUGCUGUCUUUCCUGUGA
rnacentral:lncRNA from 1 species